AUGACCUCGGAUCAGGUAGGGAUACCCGCUGAACUUAAGCAUAUCAAUAGGU
rnacentral:rRNA from 1 species